CCUCUUUCUGAUGUAUCAUUAAGAAGGUCAUUAGAAGCCUAACACUCUGUCACAAUGCCUGUGUCACUCACCUCGCGUCAUCUCAUCAUGUAGGCAUUUUGUCAUCUCACAUAAGCACAUGAAGAAGGGUACAAUAAGAUAUGUGAGACAGAGAGAGACCACGUCCACAGAACUCAUUACAGUAUAUUGUUAUAAUUGUUCUUUUUUUAAGUUUGUUUAUUUAUUAUGAGAGAGAGAGGCAGAGAGAGGGAGAGAGAGAGAAUCCCAAGCAGGCUCUGUGCUGACUGAUGUGGUGCUCAAACUCACAAACCGUGAGAUCAUGACCUGAGUGGAAACCAAGAGUCAAAAAGCUUAACCGACUGAGCCACCCAGGGAAAUGCUGGUUCCUUCCUCAGGAGUCUUCUGUGUCCUACUGUGAGGCAGUAUGAGGAGAGUAGGGCCAUUAAACUUGUUUGGACUGAGAGAAUCACUUUCUGCCUGGUUGGAGUCUAAGAAGAAACACUAUGGAGCUUCACGAAUGGAGUGGCCAGACUGCCCGGGGAACAUUGAUCUGUACCCCACAACAACCCAGAGCUCAGAACAUAAACAAAGACACAUUUGGAAGCUCCUGCGGAGACCGAUAUCCAAGAUCAACAGAUCCUGCAAUUUGCUACUUCCUCCUCCCCCCCUUCUCCUCCGAGGGGGCUUAUUUAAGUGACUCCUGAGGAAAAAAGGACAGAAAUUUGAGGCAAAUUAAGAAAAAUAGAGGAAGACACAUGGAGUACCAGGAUGCAGGGUGAGAAGACCCACAUCUCCAUGUACUUAGGGGCAAUGCUCUUUCAUACGCAAAGGCCAUCAAGGUGCUCAGUGAAGAGCAUUCCUUCAGAAACAGAAGAGUCCUGAGAUUGAGGCUUCCUUUUAAGGCACUUGUUUUAGAUGACUUUUUCCUCUGCCAUUUCUAAAGAUAUCAGAAAUAUAUGAUCUUAGAGUUUGAAGCAAAAACAGACAUGUUUAACUGAACCAGUUCAGCACCUGUCCCUAGGGCUUUCCUGACAGAGACCUCACUAUGGCCCUGAUUUAGCCUAAGGGCAGUUCUAAAUAACUUGGACAGAUUUGUAGGCAGUGUCUUUGAGACGACAUUUAAGGACACCAACCCAAAUCUACCCACAACUGGUUUUAACACCACAGUAACUUUACAAGGAAGGUGGGGACUCUAGGGCUUAUCACUUUCGUCUAUGGCUUUCAUCCCAGUCAACUUCAUGCAUCAACCAAAAUGCGAUAUUUCUGAUAACCAGUAUUUGACUAUUCAGUUAUAUUUCUCCUGCUGUUGACCUGUUCCCCCUUGACUUUCUGUGCGAUUGCUCCUAAACAUGUUCCUUCUCUUUCACUGUAAACCUCUAUUCUUUCAUAAAUAAAUUGAUAGUGCACCUCAGCCUCUUCAUUCAGUACUCUCUCCUUGUUCUUACCAAAAUCUUGCUGUCCCUCAAGGUCACUCUUUCUGUUUACAGCUGUUUUGAAAAAAUUCCUCCUUCUCCCAUGCUCCAUGUCUCAUGCCCAUAAAUGCUGGGAUAUGACACUCUUGAACCCUAGAAGAUUCAGACUCAACACAUUUACAGCGUGAAUGAAGCUGACCCAGUUGUAAUACUCAGUCAAGGAUGUGAUGUAUUAGAAAACAAAUGUCUCAUGUAAAUAUGGCAGGUGCCUUGGAGCUAAAGAAGGUUCUACCAUUCAGGUCUGUAAGUACACUUUGCCAGAUCUUUCAGUUUUUCCAAAGGAGUCAGAGAGUCAGGUUUUAUUGGUGAUAUAUUUAUAUUUUAAAUGUUGGCAAAAAAUUUAAAAUGUAUGAACACUGUGGGAUAAUAACACUAACUUAUAGGCUAAACAUGUCCUGUAGCCUGCAUGUUUAUCACAGUUAUUCUACCCUUUCUUUAUCAACUCCUACAAUAUUCCUCUCUCAUCUAUUUACCAAGCCCUUCUUCCUCUAACACUAUAUGAAGUUUGGUUUUAUUAACUUCAUCAACUUUAAUCUUGACCUGUGGAGUGGCCAUCUAACUCUGUGUGCAGAUUUUUACUCUAUACAACUUGCCUGUUACUCUGCACAUCAUUUCCUUUCAUCUAUAGCUGGAGGAGGCAGCUUUUUUUUUUUUAAAGGCCAGAUAGUAAAUAUAGGAUUCUCCCCUUAUCCACUAUUUCACUUUCUGUGGUUUUAGUUACCCACAGUCAACCAUGGUCCGAAAGCAGAUGAUUCUCCUAACAAAUCUCCAGAAAGUCAAUAGAAGCCUAAUGCUGUGUCACAGUGUCCAUAUCACCUACCUCACUUCAUCUUAUCUUGUAGGCAUUAUCUUACAGCAUCACAAGAAAGAGAGUGAAGACAGUAUAAUAAGGUAUUUUGAGACAAAAGGACCACAUCCACAUAAAUUUCAUUACAAUAUAUUGUUAUAAUUGUUCUUUGAUUAUUGAUUCUUGUUAAUCUCUUACUGUGCCUAAUUUAUAUACUAAACUUUAUCACAGGUAUGUAUGAAUAGGAAAUAGCAUAGUGUAUAUAGAGUUCAGUACUAUCCAUAGUUACAGGCAUCCCCUUGGGGUCUUGGAACAUAUUCUUCACAGAUAAGAGGUGGCUAUUAUAUUGUUGACUUUGUGGGACAUAUAGUAUGUUGCAACAACUCCGCUGUCCCAUUGUAGCAUAAAAAUAGUCAUAGGCAAUACACAAAUUGAGUGUAGCUAUGUUCCAAUAUAGCUUUAGUUACAAAAACUAUUGGUAGGUUGGACUUGGCCAGUGAGUUGAGUCAUUGGUAGCUUGCUGACCCUUGACCUCAAAGAUGAAGACAGAGUUCCUUAGCUUGGAGUCUAAGACCCAGCAUGGUUUGUCUCCUGUCUUCUUUUCCAGCUUUAUCACUUAUUCUUUUCCCAGUGAGUUAGAUUAGAUUUUAUCUAAUUAGAUUAGAUUACAUGAUAUUAGAUUACAAUUACUAUUUAUUCAGCCCUUUCUAUAUGUCUGUUACUAUUCUAAAGUGUUCAUUUACAUUAAAGUUUUUAAAGGACAAAAAAAAACCCACAAGAAACAAGAGAUAGGAAACAUCAUUUUAUAGGUGAACAAAUUGAGCCACAGAGAGAUUAAUUGUUUUGCUCAAGGCCACACAGAAAAUAAGUAGAAAAGCUAAUACUUGAACCCAGACAGUCUGGUUUCAGUGGUUGCGCUCUUAACCACUCCACCAUCCAGCCUUUCUGAGGUCUUCCCAAUACCCUUGAACUAGAUCAAGUGUUUCUCCUUUGGCAAGACUUCCAUUACUCCACUCCCUGACACUGAUGAAGUUGAGAUGCUUCCUGUUUUGGGGUGUAAAAUCAUUUUCUAGAUAUACUGGUCACUGUGCUUUUAAAAUUUUCUCAGUAAUUGUCUAUUUUGAAACUAGUGAUUUCUCUCAGGUCAAGGUUUACGGGUUAUUUGUGCUCGCACACUUCCUGCUAUAGUAUGUGCUCAAUAAUUGUUUGCUGAGUUGAAUUCAAAGGUUGACUUAUCCUAGAGUUUUCACUACUUCUGAUUUAUGCAUCCGUUCCUAUUUUGCUGGACGUGACGUUUAGAGUCUUGGUUUGGUGUGCCUCAGAAAUGGAGCUUGAGAUACAGGUUAAUGUGUGAGUAAUUUAUCUGGGCAGAGAAGAAAGCAGUGGUAGGAGAAGGGGAAAGUGGGACAACGAAGAAAAGCAGCCAAUGAAGUGUGCGUUAUCAAGGAUCCUAGACUAUGGUCCACCAGAGCUUAAUUCUGCCGGGGGAGCGCUGAAAGCUGGCACAGAACACGUGCCUCAGAGUUCAUCUACCCAAGGGAGAAGGUUACUGGGGUAUUUAUACACCAAUUCCUUUCAUUCAUUGCUUGAAGUCUACUUCCAGGGAAAGUUAAUACACAAACAUACCCAGAAUGCCGCACAAGGGGGCCACGUGAGUUUUGUCAGCUUGAGGAAGCCCUCUGGCAAAGAAGUACAGGUCCUGCAAGCCCACCCAGUGUGUCCUAUCGUGUGUGAGGACUGCCAUAUAUGGGCAGGAUACCCACAGCAUCUGCUCGAGCUUCUCUUCCAACUACUGAAAUCGAUUGUAAGGUGAGGAGAUCGUUUCUCUCUUUCCUCUUUGGUAAACCGAGACUCUUAAAGGUGUCUAUAGAGAUAGAAUCUUUCAUAAUAAUUACAGUAAUCCCUGUUUCAUGAUGUGUAUGAGGAAAAGAUCGUCCCUGCCAUUUUUCAGACUAGGUGACCUCUACGGUGCACUGGCAAGUAUCUCUGCUUACCUCCUGGGACUACCUUCCAAGACUGACUUCAGUCCCAGAUCUUUGACUUGUGGCACAUUUGGAUAUUUUCUUGACGCAAGAGCUGUUGCACUGCCAUUUCUUUCACAACUAUUGCUUUUGUCUAAGGCAAAACUUUCAGUUGCUAUUUAUAAUAGAUAUUGUUAUGGUUUACUCAACAUUCUAGGUGUUCAAAUAGAUUCAUGGAGGAAUAAGACAUAAUGGUUGCCUUUAAGAGUGUACAGAGGGGUGGCUCAGUCGGUUAGGUGUCUGACUUCCGCUCAGGCCAUGAUCUCACAAUUCGUGGGUUCGAGCCCCAUGUCGGGCUCUGUGCUGACAGCUCAGAGCCUGGAGCCUGCUUCAGAUUCUGUGUGUGUCUCUCUCUCUGCCCCUCCCCUGCUCGUGCUCUGUCUGUCUCUUUCUCUCAAAAGUAAAUAAACAUUAAAAAAUUUAAGUGCACAGAGAAGUGCCCAGGAUAAAUACUUAAAAUUGAAUAUAAUGACUGUUGAAAAAGAGAAAAAUGCAAAGUCAAAGAGGGUAUGGUGGAAGGAUUGACUAGGUCCCUUAUAAGAAAAAAAAAAUGUAAUUGAGGAUAAUGUAAAUUUACCCUAAAGUAAAAGGAAUUCUUUGUCGUUUGAGUAUCUCAAAGUCAUGCUAUGGGCUGGCUUUCAAGUUUUUAAUUUUUUAAAACAACACUGUUUUGGAAUAAGAAUCCUUAAGCUGAGACCUCCUUCUUAGAGGCUGACAGUGGAAAGACCAUUAAGGCUUUUUCUUAUUCAGGUCUUGAAAUAAGAUGGCCUCAGCUGGCAGGGAGCAGAGAGAAGGGAUUGAGAAGACUCAACAGGUGUGAUGGACAAGAACAGGGUAUUGGGUACUUGAGAAGACAGAGAAGAGGCAGAGAUGGACGGGUACAUGUUGAGGCUGAGAUUUUGAGCUUGGGAAACUGAGCAAAUGGUCUCCUAUCUACUCAAGAUAAGACAGCCAUGCAGAUGGCAGGAGGCUAUGAGGUCAGCCUGGACGAGAUGGAGGCUGAAAGUGCUUGGGGCUCCUCCAGGUAGAGCUGUACACAGACAUGAAACUCACACCACUACACCCACUUAGGGAUUAAUUAUUCUGGCAGAGGAUUCAGAAAAUAGCGAUUAUGAUAAUAGUGGUGAUAAUGACAACAAUAAAUAUUUCCAUUUCCACAGUAGUGGGAAUGCAGGUUAUUGUUUUAGGAAUUUCUCACACUGCUUGGCAGGAUUCUUGUCACACCAGAAGAUACCCAUCGUUUUGGAUAGCCUCAUGUUGCUUCGUUCUCAGCCUUUGCGGGCCUUCUUAGUACAAGAAAAUUUGAAGUUCAGGAACAAUAAUAAAAGUCCAAAAAGGAUUAUGCCUACAGAUGGAUAUGGAAGCUGAACACUGUUAAAAUCAUCAUCCCCCCUCCCCCUGCCCCAGAGUAUCUCAUUCCAUUUAUUUUGGCUGGCAUGGUAGAGAAGGUUUUCCUUUUUGCACAUUGGAUUCAUUUCAUAUCUAAUAUGUGCGAGACCCUCCACACACAUUGUUUCCAGUUCUCCCAGCCUGCUGCUGUUUUGCCUGCAAGGAAAUUGAAAUUGAAACUGCUCUGAGUACCUUGGUGUGUCCAUGGCCUUGGCUGACUUCUUUUCUCCAAUAUUCCCAAAUGUUACUGGCAGGAUCACAUCUUAGCAACAGGUGUUCCCCGCAGUUGGUAAAGAACGGAGGUGGAACCCAGGCCCGUUCAUUCCCUCUGCUAUGCCAUGUGGCCCUCCAUUCAUUACCUACUGUGUAACUGUUAGCACCUGUACUCUCCAUUAUCUGUAUUACUGUGUUUGUCAAGUUUCUCCAGAGAAACAGAAUACAUGCAUGCAUACAUAUAAGUAUAAUUUGUCAUAAGGAAUUGGCUCAUCUGAUUAUGGAGGCUUACAACUCCCAAGAUCUGCAGUUGGAAAGAGGGAGACCUGGAAGAUUCGAUGUUCCAGCUGAAGCAUUCAGUCCUGAGAAUUUCCUUUUUAUGCCGCCUUUCUGGGCUAUUCAAGCCUUCAACUGAUUGCGUCAGGUCCACCUGCGUUGAGGAGAGCAAUCUGCUUUACUCACCGUGUUAAUUCAAAUGUUAAUCA